rnacentral:piRNA from 1 species
GUUUUUGCUUGUUGGUAGA